rnacentral:lncRNA from 1 species
AUUUGUCAAAACCCCACAGAUCUGUACAAUACAAAAAAAGAGAACCUUAAUAUAGACUAUAGUUAAUAAUAAUGUAUCAAUAUUGGUUUGUUAAUUAAAACAAGUGUCAUUGGUACAUAGUGCCAAACUGUGCUCCAUAGGUUCAAAGGGCCCUGCUUCAUGUACUCUUUCCUUUGUGGUCUUUGUGUCAUCAACCAAGUUGUUAGGGUUGAUUUGCAAGGUAGCUGGUCCCCUGGUUCUUUCCUCUCCACGUGAGCCUCCACAGAACUGCUUGCGUGUCCUCACAACACAGUGGUUGGUUUCCCCCAGAUCCAGUGAUCCAAAAGACCAACAUGGAAGCUGCAGUGCCUUUUAUGACCUAGUUUGGAAGUCACACAUUGUCACUUGCAUCAUACUCUACUAGUAACAGAUCAGCCCUGAUUCACUGUGGGAGGAGACUACACAAGGGCAUGAAUACCUAGGAGGGCAUACAUGAAGUAACCAAUGGAAUCCUCUAGGGGGUAUUUAAACUCCCAAAAAUUCUGUAACGGGGCCCUUGAGCCCCUAUGCUUGGGUCCAUUCCCAAACUGUGGAGUGUACUUUCAUUUUCAAUAAAUUUCUGCUUUUGUUGCUUCAUUCUUUCCUUGCUUUGUUUGAGCGUUUUGUCCAAUUAUUUGUUCAAGACGCCAAGAACCUGG